UUGUGGCUCAGUGGUAGAGUGCUCACCUAGCACAUGUGAGGCCCUGGGUUCGAUCCUCAGCAA
rnacentral:tRNA from 1 species